rnacentral:rRNA from 1 species
UGCNAGUCGAACGGCAGCACGGGAGCAAUCCUGGUGGCGAGUGGCGAACGGGUGAGUAAUGUAUCGGAACGUACCUUUCAGUGGGGGAUAACGUAGCGAAAGUUACGCUAAUACCGCAUAUUCUGUGAGCAGGAAAGCAGGGGAUCGCAAGACCUUGCGCUGAUUGAGCGGCCGAUAUCAGAUUAGCUAGUUGGUGAGGUAAAGGCUCACCAAGGCGACGAUCUGUAGCGGGUCUGAGAGGAUGAUCCGCCACACUGGAACUGAGACACGGUCCAGACUCCUACGGGAGGCAGCAGUGGGGAAUUUUGGACAAUGGGGGCAACCCUGAUCCAGCCAUGCCGCGUGAGUGAAGAAGGCCUUCGGGUUGUAAAGCUCUUUCGGCCGGGAAGAAAUCGCAUGGGUUAAUACCCUAUGCGGAUGACGGUACCGGCAUAAGAAGCACCGGCUAACUACGUGCCAGCAGCCGCGGUAAUACGUAGGGUGCGAGCGUUAAUCGGAAUUACUGGGCGUAAAGCGUGCGCAGGCGGUUUUGUAAGACAGGCGUGAAAUCCCCGGGCUCAACCUGGGAACUGCGCUUGUGACUGCAAGGCUAGAGUACGGCAGAGGGGGGUGGAAUUCCACGUGUAGCAGUGAAAUGCGUAGAGAUGUGGAGGAACACCAAUGGCGAAGGCAGCCCCCUGGGUCGAUACUGACGCUCAUGCACGAAAGCGUGGGUAGCAAACAGGAUUAGAUACCCUGGUAGUCCACGCCCUAAACGAUGUCAACUAGGUGUUGGGAGGGUAAAACCUUUUAGUACCGGAGCUAACGCGUGAAGUUGACCGCCUGGGGAGUACGGCCGCAAGGUUAAAACUCAAAGGAAUUGACGGGGACCCGCACAAGCGGUGGAUGAUGUGGAUUAAUUCGAUGCAACGCGAAAAACCUUACCUACCCUUGACAUGUCCAGAAGCCUAGAGAGAUUUGGGUGUGCCCGAAAGGGAACUGGAACACAGGUGCUGCAUGGCUGUCGUCAGCUCGUGUCGUGAGAUGUUGGGUUAAGUCCCGCAACGAGCGCAACCCUUGUCGUUAAUUGCCAUCAUUUAGUUGGGCACUUUAACGAGACUGCCGGUGACAAACCGGAGGAAGGUGGGGAUGACGUCAAGUCCUCAUGGCCCUUAUGGGUAGGGCUUCACACGUCAUACAAUGGUCGGUACAAAGGGUUGCCAAGCCGCGAGGUGGAGCCAAUCCCAGAAAGCCGAUCGUAGUCCGGAUUGCAGGCUGCAACCCGCCUGCAUGAAGUCGGAAUCGCUAGUAAUCGUGGAUC